AAAACUUAGCAGCAAUCCUACACAUGGACUGAGUUUCCACACAGGAGCUGAAGAAAGAUGAUCGUGUUCUUAGUACCUAGCUGCAGUGAGGGCUCAGAUGGUGUGCAUGGAUAUCCUCAAAGUCUGUCUGGCUGUCAUCUCCAGAACCACUCCCUCCCCACUCCUACCAACGUUUCUCAUGAAACCUUCUAUUUUACUGGAGGCUUGAAGAGGCUUUAUGAAACCCUCCAAAAAUACAGAGAGCUUCUAUUUAUUCAGCAUCGAAGCAGAAAUUCAGCGUGAUGAAUUUCCAGGAGAGUGAGGAAGGUCUGUGCUUGAACGAGCCGGAAUGUUUGAUGGAGCUAUCUUCUGUAUUAAAGCUUCAGAAGAAUGACUUUCUCAGACUUGAGUGAAGCUGUUGCAUAAGCGGAACUGAGCUGCUGUGUCUGUUAUCCAACCUUAUUGUGGUUUACAUUUAAAUUGAUUUCCCUCUAGCCAUAGUCAGGUCUGCUGCUUUCAUGAUUCCCCCCCCUUCCUCCCCGCCCUUAAAUUAUCAAGGCAGCUCAGUGAAAGGAAUAUACAGUUCUGGCUUUCACCAUACCAGCUGCAGAGAAAGCUUAGGUUAAGUUUUAUUGCUGAAACUUCCUCACUAUUUUAAAUUGUUUAAGUAGGCUUUGGAGAGGCAAUUUUCUUCAAGGAGUGAAGGGGGGGGGGACUGAGAUCAUAAUGAGGUGGAUUGGGCCGGAUCUUGAAACAACAAAACUAAACUUCACAAGAAGAAGGGCGAUUCUUACUUGGCAAGCGAUGUUGUGAUAAGAGUACAGAGGCAGGCAGGGAAAAGAGAAGUUGGGGCCUCCCUCCCAGCCUGUAAGGAUGAUGAAUUUGUACCACUGAGCAUCAGGAAUUUUGAAUUUAGGAUACUGCUUGCACCCAUAAAUUUGAAAUAAACAACCCAGAGAACUGAUAGAAGCAAUCAUCAGAUUAACUUCACUGAAUGGGGAAGGACUGUGGGGAGAGGAAUGUGGCAGAGAUGGGAAUUUAAGGGACCCCAAGUCCCCAGAAACUGUCUUAAAACCUUGCUUUCCUGUAUGACUUCCUUUGCACCUUUCAACAAAUCACUUCGAUUUGCCUGUUUCACCUCUUUAGCAAACUUUGGUUUUGGUAAUAAAUUAGUUAAAGCUGUCAAGUAUGCAGCACAGGAGUCAGGUGGAAAGGAAGAAGAUGAUUUCCAAACAAAUUUCACAGUUAAUGCAAAAUGACUCUUACCAUAUAAUCUUGUUGAUUUCCAGACACUUAAACAGUGUGAUAUUCCUUUAAACCAUGGGAUCUGAAUGAAGUCAUUGAAGACUCAACAAUUUUACAUUUCUUUUUAUAAUUGACUUAGGCUGUCUUCUGCUGGCUUCUGCUAUCUCUGGAAAAUCUAUCUGGCUUUCUCUCUGGUUUAGCGCAGUCAUCAGUUUCAUCACCACUAAGAAAUGAUAUUUCCAUGCGAUCAAAUUAAUGUUACAGAUUAAAGAUGACAGGUGUGACUGAUACUUUAAUUUCUGUGCAUUUUAAAACCUGAAGAUUUGUUUGCAAAGCAAAACUGCUUUAGGAACAGAAAUAAAAGUUUUUAAU
ensembl:lncRNA